CCUACGGGAGACAGCAGUCGAGAAUCAUUCACAAUGGGGGAAACCCUGAUGGUGCGACGCCGCGUGGGGGAAUGAAGGUCUUCGGAUUGUAAACCCCUGUCAUGUGGGAGCAAAUUAAAAAGAUAGUACCACAAGAGGAAGAGACGGCUAACUCUGUGCCAGCAGCCGCGGUAAUACAGCGGUCUCAAGCGUUGUUCGGAAUCACUGGGCGUAAAGCGUGCGUAGGCUGUUUCGUAAGUCGUGUGUGAAAGGCGCGGGCUCAACCCGCGGACGGCACAUGAUACUGCGAGACUAGAGUACUGGAGGGGGAACCGGAAUUCUCGGUGUAGCAGUGAAAUGCGUAGAUAUCGAGAGGAACACUCGUGGCGAAGGCGGGUUCCUGGACAUUAACUGACGCUGAGGCACGAAGGCCAGGGGAGCGAAAGGGAUUAGAUACCCGUGUAGUC
rnacentral:rRNA from 1 species